rnacentral:rRNA from 1 species
UACGAAGGGGGCUAGCGUUGCUCGGAAUGACUGGGCGUAAAGGGCGCGUAGGCGGCUUGCACCGUCAGAUGUGAAAUUCCUGGGCUUAACCUGGGGGCUGCGUUUGAUACGUGUGGGCUUGAGUGCGGAAGAGGGUCGUGGAAUUCCCAGUGUAGAGGUGAAAUGCGUAGAUAUCUGGAGGAAUACCGGUGGCGAAGGCGGCAUCCUGGACCGGCAUUGACGCUGAGGAGCGAAAGCCAGGGGAGCAAACGGG